rnacentral:rRNA from 1 species
CGGGGUGCAGCAGGCGCGAAAACUUUACAAUGCCGGCAACGGCGAUUAGGGAACCUCGAGUGCCAGGUUACAAAUCUGGCUGUCGUGAUGCCUAAAAAGCAUUGCAUAGCAAGGGCCGGGCAAGACCGGUGCCAGCCGCCGCGGUAACACCGGCGGCUCGAGUGGUAACCGUUAUUAUUGGGUCUAAAGGGUCUGUAGCCGGCCGGGUAGGUCUCUUGGGAAAUCUGGCAGCUUAACUGUCAGGCUUUCAGGAGAUACUGCCUGGCUCGAGGCCGGGAGAGGUGAGAGGUACUUCAGGGGUAGGGGUGAAAUCUUGUAAUCCUUGAAGGACCACCAGUGGCGAAGGCGUCUCACCAGAACGGACCUGACGGCAAGGGACGAAAGCUAGGGGCACGAACCGGAUUAGAUACCCGGGUAGUCCUAGCCGUAAACGAUACUCGCUAGGUGUCGGCCACGGUGCGACCGUGGUCGGUGCCGUAGGGAAGCCGUGAAGCGAGCCACCUGGGAAGUACGGCCGCAAGGCUGAAACUUAAAGGAAUUGGCGGGGGAGCAC